rnacentral:rRNA from 1 species
UGGGGAAUAUUGCACAAUGGGCGCAAGCCUGAUGCAGCCAUGCCGCGUGUGUGAAGAAGGCCUUCGGGUUGUAAAGCACUUUCAGCGAGGAGGAAGGGUAGUGUGUUAAUAGCACAUUGCAUUGACGUUACUCGCAGAAGAAGCACCGGCUAACUCCGUGCCAGCAGCCGCGGUAAUACGGAGGGUGCAAGCGUUAAUCGGAAUUACUGGGCGUAAAGCGCACGCAGGCGGUUUGUUAAGUCAGAUGUGAAAUCCCCGCGCUUAACGUGGAACUGCAUUU